UACGUAGGGCGCAAGCGUUGUCCGGAAUUAUUGGGCGUAAAGAGCUCGUAGGCGGUUUGUCGCGUCUGCUGUGAAAACCUAAGGCUCAACCUUGGGCUUGCAGUGGGUACGGGCAGACUAGAGUGCGGUAGGGGUGACUGGAAUUCCUGGUGUAGCGGUGGAAUGCGCAGAUAUCAGGAGGAACACCGGUGGCGAAGGCGGGUCUCUGGGCAGUAACUGACGCUGAGGAGCGAAAGCGUGGGGAGCGAACCGG
rnacentral:rRNA from 1 species